AUACAUAGAGAUCGCAAAUCUUUAACCAACCAAAAAAUUCAACAUCCACUCAAAUUCAAUUCACAAUUCAUUCAAAUUUCUAUUCAACUUGAAACGAACUAAACCUGUAUAGUUUGAAUGCAAUGAAAAUCAACUUUUUGCCUAAUUCAUUGACCUGACUUAAAUAUCUAACCUAUUUAACACCAUCUGAAAUGUUGUGUAUUUG
rnacentral:lncRNA from 1 species